UACGAAGGGGGCUAGCGUUGCUCGGAAUCACUGGGCGUAAAGGGUGCGUAGGCGGGUCUUUAAGUCAGGGGUGAAAUCCUGGAGCUCAACUCCAGAACUGCCUUUGAUACUGAGGAUCUUGAGUUCGGGAGAGGUGAGUGGAACUGCGAGUGUAGAGGUGAAAUUCGUAGAUAUUCGCAAGAACACCAGUGGCGAAGGCGGCUCACUGGCCCGAUACUGACGCUGAGGCACGAAAGCGUGGGGAAGCAAACGGGG
rnacentral:rRNA from 1 species